GGUGGGUUUGGUCACAGGCGCGCAUGCCCUUCAGUUCAGUCAGCAGAACUUAUGAGCAAAACCGAAUCCUACCUAGGACUCCGGUUAAUACUGCGGUCAAUCCGAGAUCAGUCAGAAUAUUUAGGCUACAUAUCUCUGGUUUACUAGGAGCCCGCAGCACUAGGCCCUAUGUCUUUAUUAUUAUUAUAUCAUUAUUACUGGCUACACCACAGCAUUGGCGGAGUCACGGGAGUAGGGAAACGGCAGCGCUCAAACCGCAGAUCACGGAGCCGCGACCCGGGACCGCCAGGCUGAGGAUGGGACUUCCUCCACCUCUAGUCCGUGCCAGUGCUGUGCGUCCACCCUGCCCUCCCUCCGCCAUGGGGCCCGCGUCCCUCACCGCGAAGCCUAGAAGCCGCCAGGGCCCAAGCUGCAGACCCGAGGGGCCAGCCACAAAGACCGGAAGUGCGCCCGGCGGCCUUCCGCUCGCGAACCCGGCAGCCUCUGCCCGCCACGCCCCUUUCUCGAAAUCAGCCAAUCAGCGCCGUGGGUUCUACUCUUCCUAUCGCUUCCCGGCUGUUUGGCUGCCCGAGUGCAGAGUGCCGCGAGAGGGUGCCCUGAGGAAUGUAGCUGUUAAAAGAAAGGAGACUUGGAUGCUGAGCCACUGGACGAAGCCCUUUUGGCAGACGAAGGACGAGACGGUGUGGAACCUGGUUUAGAUGCUGGACUUGAUUUAGCUGCGCCUGAAAGCAACCAGAACACAUUAUAAAUAUUGGCAAUAUUAAAAUGAUUUUUAUUUUUUAAACAUUCAUUCAUUCAUUCAUUUAUUUAUUUGAGACAGGGUCUCACUAUGUAGUUGAGACUGACCUGGAACUCACUAUGUAGCCCAGGAUGGUUUCAAACUCACAGGGAUCCUCCUGCCUCAGCCUCCCAAGUGCUGGGGUUACAGGUGUGCGCCACCACGCCUAGCCUAAAAUGAUUUUUAGAUAUGUGGCCGAAAUAGGGUAUAAAAGUCAUUUACUAAAAAGUACCAGGGAUCCCACGAUCCGAUUGCAGAAGAAGGACAAAUAGAUUUAAAAGAACUGCACAUGAUUAACUGCAGGUAUACUUGGCAAUUUAUUUAACUUUAUGAAAACAAGUGUUUUUCUUCUCAGAUAACAAGAAAUUGAUGAAGUUUUGCCUUCUCCCUCCAGACAAGGAGUGAC
rnacentral:lncRNA from 1 species